rnacentral:rRNA from 1 species
UACAGAGGGUGCGAGCGUUAAUCGGAAUUACUGGGCGUAAAGCGUGCGUAGACGGUUAUUUAAGUCGGGUGUGAAAGCCCCGGGCUCAACCUGGGAAUUGCAUUCGAGACUGAAUAGCUAGGGUACGGUAGAGGGAAGCGGAAUUUCCGGUGUAGCGGUGAAAUGCGUAGAUAUCGGAAGGAACAUCAGUGGCGAAAGCGGCUUCCUGGGCCAGUAUUGACGCUGAGGAGCGAAAGCGUGGGGAGCGAACAGG